rnacentral:rRNA from 1 species
UACGAAGGGGGCUAGCGUUGUUCGGAAUUACUGGGCGUAAAGCGCACGUAGGCGGACAUUUAAGUCAGGGGUGAAAUCCCAGAGCUCAACUCUGGAACUGCCUUUGAUACUGGAGAGCUUGAGUCCGGAAGAGGUGAGUGGAACUCCGAGUGUAGAGGUGAAAUUCGUAGAUAUUCGGAAGAACACCAGUGGCGAAGGCGGCUCACUGGUCCGGUACUGACGCUGAUGUGCGAAAGCGUGGGGAGCAAACAGG